rnacentral:rRNA from 1 species
GACGAACGCUGGCGGCGUGCUUAACACAUGCAAGUCGAACGGUAAGGCCCUUCGGGGUACACGAGUGGCGAACGGGUGAGUAACACGUGGGUGAUCUGCCCUGCACUUUGGGAUAAGCCUGGGAAACUGGGUCUAAUACCGAAUACACCCUGCUGGUCGCAUGGCCCGGUGGGGGAAAGCUUUUCCGGUGUGGGAUGGGCCCGCGGCCUAUCAGCUUGUUGGUGGGGUGAUGGCCUACCAAGGCGACGACGGGUAGCCGGCCUGAGAGGGUGACCGGCCACACUGGGACUGAGAUACGGCCCAGACUCCUACGGGAGGCAGCAGUGGGGAAUAUUGCACAAUGGGCGCAAGCCUGAUGCAGCGACGCCGCGUGAGGGAUGACGGCCUUCGGGUUGUAAACCUCUUUCAAUAGGGACGAAGCGCAAGUGACGGUACCUAUAGAAGAAGGACCGGCCAACUACGUGCCAGCCGCCGCCGUAA